rnacentral:tRNA from 1 species
GCCGAAGUGGUGGAAUUGGUAGACACGCUGGACUCAAAAUCCAGUGAAAGCGAUUUCGUGUGGGUUCGAGUCCCACCUUCGGUA